UAGAUGGAUGCUCGCUGGUUAGGGCGCUUAGCUGUUAACUAAGAAUUUGCAGGAUCAAGGCCUGCCCAUCUAG
rnacentral:tRNA from 1 species